AUUGGUCAGAGCCGGGAUGUCUGGAUCCCAGUCUUGCUUCUGGUACCAGCCUGCUCCUGGCGAUGAACUCAGCGGCUCUGAGACAUGACUAUGAAUCACACCUCGUCCCCAAGGGCCACCUCAAAGGGAUACUACAUGAGACACAUCUGCAUCUCACACAAAUAUCUGUGCGUAGUGGACACAGGCCAGCAACAGAUACGUAUCACGUAGGAUUUGGGUGCCCCAGACUUCUAUCUCAGACGCGUGGACGGACACAGCGAGGCUCAAGCAGUUACAUUCACAUUUGGAUUUUUCUGACUUGAACGUUUUUCGGCAACAUCUGUGCCCCCAUGGUGGUGUCUGUCAAGUUCCAGUUCCCAAUCGUCGGAGCCCUCUAGAGUCUGCUCUUCCUCAUGAGGUCAGUCUCCUACUUUGCUCCUUCCCAAGACCUCCUGCUCCACGCAGACCUGACUUCUUCCUAACCCCAAAGUGAGCAAUUUUCAUUUCUGCCUUUGAAAUUCCCCAUAACAGUGUGCUCCCCUCUCCUUCUUGGUACGUCCGACCUUACCCUUUCGAAGGCUC